rnacentral:rRNA from 1 species
UGCGCAGGCGGUUUUGUAAGUCAGAUGUGAAAUCCCCGGGCUCAACCUGGGAAUUGCAUUUGAAACUGUAAUACUUGAGUACUGGAGAGGUAAGUGGAAUUCCUAGUGUAGCGGUGAAAUGCGUAGAUAUUAGGAGGAACACCAGUGGCGAAGGCGACUUACUGGACAGAUACUGACGCUGAGGCGCGAAAGCGUGGGGAGCAAACAGGAUUCGAUACCCUCGUA